rnacentral:rRNA from 1 species
ACUCCUACGGGAGGCAGCAGUGGGGAAUAUUGCACAAUGGGCGCAAGCCUGAUGCAGCCAUGCCGCGUGUAAUUGGAAGAAGGCCUUCGGGUUGUAAAGUUACUUUCAGCAAGUGAGGAAGGUGGGUAUGUUAAUAGCAUACUCAUUUGACGUUAGCUGCAGUAAGGCAAGCACCGGCUAACUCCGUGCCAGCAGCCGCGGUAAUACGGAGGGUGCGAGCGUUAAUCGGAAUUACUGGGCGUAAAGCGCAUGCAGGCGGCUUGUUAAGUCAGAUGUGAAAGCCCGGGGCUUAACCUCGGAAUAUGACAUUGAACG